GGUAUUCCAGGGAUCUGUGCAACAGAGGAAAUAACGCCGGAGCGAAAGGGGGUCAGCUCUUCAGAAGCACCCCCGCUUUUCUAGUGCCGCGGUGCAGAUGUCAGGCCAGACGUUGGAGAGAUCUCCCACUCACACCGCGCCUCCAUCUGUCAGCCUCUCCCAAGUUCUUCAGCUUCUCAUUAUUCCCAGCUAUCCUGGGGUGGCGGCGUUCGGAAGAGAAUUAGCGCGUACGGAAAACCAGCCGGGCCGCCACGUUCCGGCCAGGUCACACGACUCCCUCUGUCCAUUCCAGCGCUGAGGUGACCGGUUCUCCUUGCGGGGCUUUGUCGUCACGCGCUCCCUUGUUGCGAGGCACAGCCCCGGAGUUUUCGGCAAUUUAACAAACCAGUGCAUCUACCGGCGGGAAUCGUCGAGUCUAAAAAUAGAGCGGGAAAGCGCUCUCGCCGGCACUGGGACACCGCGUGCCAGCGGAGGUGCUGCAACCGCGCCUGUCAGCCUUGUCGCUGACAGCUCCUGCUCAAGACUCACAGCUCACUGUACGUGCUGCCUACCCAGAUGUUCACCGAGAAAACAGCUGAUCCUCCGGAUAUUUUUAGACAGCGUUCCCGCGACGGUGGACAGAGAGAGUGCUCCGGCGAACAGGAGCAGGAGUGCGUGACUGCAAUGCUGAGGGGGACCGCGCGUGCAUCCGGGGCCUGGCGAUCACACGAAAAGCAGCCGAUCAUUACGCAGGCUGAGCAGAUGGGGCGCCCCCUGGUGGCCGAUGGACCCUAAGGAGUCACUUAGUUCGCUUGUAUGCCUUGGCUGGCCUCAUCUCCAAAGAGCAGGUGUGGCCAAUCUUACUCGCAGAGGGCCGGUGUGUAUGCAGGUUUGUGGGAUAACCUUUAGGUCAGCUGUUCACACCCAGGUGUGAGGACUCUUCAGCCAAUCAGUCCUCUAAUUAGUAAUCUAAUUAGGGAGUUGCAGCGAAAACACACAUUUACAACAGCCCGUUCUGGAUAAGAUUAACCACCCCUACCACAGAGGCACUAAUACACUACAAUAACAAUUAUAAUAGUAAAUAACAAUACAAUUGAUAAAAAACAAUGACCUAUAUUAGACCAUUAUUAUUAUUAUUACUACUACUAUUACAGAAGUUGCUUGUUAGUGUCUGAUUUUUCAGUGUCUUCCCAUAACUCAUGUGGGCAGUCUGUGGCAGUCUGCGGACCAGAAAGGCAGCUGGUCUGCAAAGGUACUGACUCACAAAGCAGACUGUCCUUAGUCACAAGCAGACGGAGCAGCGCUUACCUAACAUAAAAAAUAUCACCCCGAAUAUCCAAGUAGUAAAAAGAUUCAUUGAGAGACCUGGGGAAGGUGGGGGUUAGGGUUGGGGGCGGAGCAUGUGGAGCAGGAGAGCCCGUUUUAGAUCAGAGAGGUGCCUAAAGACGGACACAUUUGGGAAGAGGCUACAGGAGGCGUGUUUGGCUGCAGACAGCACGCUCACACGACGAGGCCUCGUCUCAACGACAACCAGCUGCUUCCUCCACACUCCUCCUCAUCAUCAUCUCCAAAGGGGUUUCAGCAUCAGACAGACACACUGUACCUGAACUAUUACUGCAGCAUUACGGAGCAGCAAGGGGCAGAUUACAUCAUCAGUGCUUUCCAGAAGUGAGGGCCGCAGGAUGAUUUCCAGAUCGUGCCGUCAGUGAAAUCUACUGAGGGGCACUGGUCUCUGCUACUGUUAUUUUGAGGGUCAUGGACUGAAAAUAUGUCAAUCCAUGGGUUCUAUGACUAAACCCUCUCUGACCCGGCCCGAUUUAACCAUAUAACCAUAAGGGCAUUCGGGCACAUGCCAAGGGGUACCACAUCCUUGUGGGGGGGGGGGGGGGGGAUCACUGAGAAGAGCAACAACAAAUUAAUGCGAUUUAAUAUCUAAUACAUUAAUGAUAGUACAUUGUUCGUCUAAUACGGCACUAUACUGAAAAAGCCCAUGUAAGGUUUUCCCUGUGUUAGACACAUUCUUGAAUUUUGUGAGCCACCAAUCAGCUCCGUUUUCUUCCUGACUUGACGUCACGUGUUCUGUCGCCCCAGGGCACUUAAUCCUCUUAAUCCGACCCUGCCUCCGACUGAUGUUAUUAUCUAAGGGGUGGACAUCAGGCUAUCCCAAACUUUCCAGCAGGUUUUACAGAGUAGACGUGACUCUACCCACAACACAGAUGUCAAUCGUCGUGGGCGGAGAGCAGCGACGGCUUCUGACGGCUGCCUUCGCCUCAUCGAUGCUUUGAUUGAAAUCAAAGUGUUCUUGACGACAGUGUGUUUAGAGGCGCCUCUCUCGCAAGGGAACAACAGCGGCACCCUGUCUGGGAUCUGAGGACCUUCAGAAGGCGUGUUCGGCUUCAAGGCUAGGCGCCUUUAGCCGCUCUGAGACGGCAAAGUGGCAUCUUCUGAACUCCAUCCAGGUCGUUUGUGCCUGGAGACGCCGGAGGUCUCUGAAGAGCGGGUGCGUGACGGAGGGUCGACCAGCCUGCUCUGACUGGGAAGGAUUUGGGAGGCGGAGUCUCCCCUGGGGAGAGGGGGCGGGACUAAAGGAGAGCAGUGGUCCCAGGCAACUGGGCGGCCCACACUGUCCUUCCUCUCCCCCCUCCUGAGGAAAUCAGUAGAGGCAGCUGGGUUGGGGGACGGUGGACACUGGCUGUGGCGAGACACAGGAGAAUAGAACUGGAGGAGGACUGGGGAUGAGCUUGGCUGGUGGUUACCAAAUUACUCGUGGAUACAAAAAAAACAGAAAACAAGAAAAAGUGGCUCCCAGUUCUGGUUGUGUGAGAGGAGAAACAGUGCCAAGGAUUACAAUGGCUGUAUAUCAAAAAGCGCCUCUGGAAACAGGGCUUUGGAUCAAAUGUAUAUUUCUGCGGUCGCACGCAUUAUGGUUGCAUCCAAACCCUUUAGCCUAAAUUAGCGUGUGCCAUCAGCAGGGCCAGGCCAAACGGUCACGAGAAGCUGCUCGCUGGGAGCGGCUCACAGCCAAGUGGCGCCACCCAGGGACACAGAGGCCCAGCGCAGGUGUGAGGCGCACUGAGUGAGCACAGCGUCAGGGUUGGGGUUCCGACCUUCUUCCUAAACUGCCAGCCACCCAACCACCAUCCAAAAAUCCAUUUAAAGUGCCGUGACCCCAAAGCCAUCUGCGAAGAGCGGGAAAGAGCUCAGAGAGAUGAGGGGGGGUUGUGGAGGGGGCAGGGAACAGAGCCGCUUUCAUGAGUCCUCCAUCUUUUUUUUUUUUUUUUUUGGCUGGUCGAAUCCCCGACAGGCCAGAACUCGGCAGGCGAGUCACAGAUGUCUUGGGCAAGGGCAGCGAGGGAACCGACGACUCAGAAGCGUCGCCGUUUUUAAUCUGUAGCUGUUUACUUCCUCCCCCUACACCCGCACAUGGACCCGCGAUGUCCGGAUCUCAAAUGGGCUACACUGCCCCCACUUGGCCAAGACUGGUAUUCAGCUCGAAACAAAUAAUAAAAAUCAUUUUAAAAACAAUAAAAUCAUGUUGGAGGAAGCUUAGCUGGCAUCGGUGAUUUGCCAGCGAAGUAUGACAUUGAGAAAGUGAAGCUGGAGGAGAGCGUGCAGUUCAACGCCGAGAAAAUGCCCCCAGCGACGUGCUACAUUUACACACAGGCGGAGAGGCUGUCAGGAGAUUAGUAUUCAGUUAACAGCUCAAUCAGCCUUAAUGGCCCACAGAGAGCAGAACCACUGCAUGCAAAGCGACAGCAGAUACACUAGCCCACGGCGUUGCGAGAAAAAGCACCUCCUGGCCUUCAACGCCAGCCACCCUGUGGAAAUGGUCCUAUGGACUUGUGUGGAUGGAGAAGGUUGAAGGGAGUCAGAUGUCUGAUGUAGAUCACCAGUCUGCUAAAAAUG